AUUGAACGCUGGCGGCAGGCCUAACACAUGCAAGUCGAACGAGUGGCGGACGGGUGAGUAAGGUCUGGGAAACUGCCCGAGGGAGGGGGAUAACUAAUGGAAACUGUUGCUAAUACCGCAUACCAUCGGAUGUGCCCGGAUGGGAAUAGCUAGUAGGUGGGGUAACGGCUCACCUAGGCGACGAUCCCUAGCUGGUCUGAGAGGAUGACCAGCCACACUGGAACUGAGACACGGUCCAGACUCCUACGGGAGGCAGCAGUGGGGAAUCUUGGACAAUGGGCGCAAGCCUGAUGCAGCCAUGCCGCGUGUAUGAAGAAGGCCUUCGGGUUGUAAAGUACUUUCAGCAGGGAGGCGUUACUCGCAGAAGAAGCACCGGCUAACUCCGUGCCAGCCGCCGCGGUAAUAC
rnacentral:rRNA from 1 species